UACGGAGGGUGCAAGCGUUGUCCGGAUUUAUUGGGUUUAAAGGGUGCGUAGGCGGUCCUAUAAGUCAGUGCUGAAAUAUCCCGGCUUAACCGGGAGGGUGGCAUUGAUACUGCAGGACUUGAGUAAAGUUGAGGUAGGCGGAAUUGACGGUGUAGCGGUGAAAUGCUUAGAUAUCGUCAAGAACACCGAUAGUGAAGACAGCUUACUAAACUUUAACUGACGCUGAGGCACGAAAGUGUGGGGAUCAAACAGG
rnacentral:rRNA from 1 species